AAAGAUCAGCACACAGUACUCUUGGACUACAUGCUACGCCUUUUCUUCCUGGGACCUCAUGGAUUUAAAUGGCUUAAGAUAACGGGAUGAGUUGUUGAAAAUUGUCCUUUCAAAAGACCUCACCGAAGGCCGAAGACAAGACCCAUUCAGGCCAAGUACUACUUGGGAAUACUCUCAGAGAUACUUGAAGAUAAAAAUAUAUCAUAUAAGGUAUACGUGUGCAUGCGCUAAUGCGUGGGGGCAGGGAUUGAUGGAGUUAACAAAAUGUGCCCAAUCUGCAUCUUAGACAGGAAAAAGAGAGACAUGGGUGAAUUCCAAUUUUCAGCAUGAAUCAA